CCUACGGGGGGCAGCAGUGAGGAAUAUUGGUCAAUGGACGAGAGUCUGAACCAGCCACGUAGCGUGAAGGAUGAAUGCCCUAUGGGUUGUAAACUUCUUUUAUAUGGGAAUAAAACGUUCCACGUGUGGGAUUUUGUAUGUACCAUAUGAAUAAGGAUCGGCUAACUCCGUGCCAGCAGCCGCGGUAAUACGGAGGAUCCGAGCGUUAUCCGGAUUUAUUGGGUUUAAAGGGAGCGUAGGUGGAUUGUUAAGUCAGUUGUGAAAGUUUGCGGCUCAACCGUAAAAUUGCAGUUGAAACUGGCAGUCUUGAGUACAUGAGAGGAGGGCGGAAUUCGUGGUGUAGCGGUGAAAUGCUUAGAUAUCACGAAGAACUCCGAUUGCGAAGGCAGUUCACUGGACUGCAACUGACACUGAGGCUCGAAAGUGUGGGUAUCAAACAGGAUUAGAUACCCUUGUAGUC
rnacentral:rRNA from 1 species